rnacentral:rRNA from 1 species
UACGUAGGGUGCGAGCGUUGUCCGGAAUCAUUGGGCGUAAAGAGCUUGUAGGCGGUUUUUCGCGUCUGCUGUGAAAAUCCGGGGCUCAACCCCGGACUUGCAGUGGGUACGGGCAGACUAGAGUGUGGUAGGGGAGACUGGAAUUCCUGGUGUAGCGGUGAAAUGCGCAGAUAUCAGGAGGAACACCGAUGGCGAAGGCAGGUCUCUGGGCCACUACUGACGCUGAGAAGCGAAAGCAUGGGGAGCGAACAGG